GCUACUGUGGCUCAGCGGUAGAGCACUGCCUUGGUAAGGCAGGGGUCACGGGUCCGAUUCCCGUCAGUAGCUCCA
rnacentral:tRNA from 1 species